UUCGGACCUCGGAUCGGCCUAGGACACCCGCCGGACUU
rnacentral:rRNA from 1 species